rnacentral:rRNA from 1 species
GGAUUAGAUACCCUGGUAGUCCACGCCGUAAACGAUGUCUACUAGCAGCUUGGUUCGUUAAGAACUGUUUUGCGCAGCUAACGCAUUAAGUAGACCGCCUGGGGAGUACGGCCGCAAGGUUAAAACUCAAAUGAAUUGACGGGGGCCCGCACAAGCGGUGGAGCAUGUGGUUUAAUUCGAUGCAACGCGAAGAACCUUACCAUCCCUUGACAUCCAGAGGAUUUACUAGAGAUAGUUUAGUGCCUUCGGGAACUCUGAGACAGGUGCUGCAUGGCUGUCGUCAGCUCGUGCCG